UAUUUGAUUGAUGAAAUGCAA
rnacentral:piRNA from 1 species